rnacentral:lncRNA from 1 species
GCACUGCUGAUCUCCAACCGUACCAGCAAAUGUUGCUCCUAAAAGGGCCCAGGGACACUCACUCCGUCAGGGCAAGUGAAUUCUAAUCUACUUGGUUCAGACAGGUUUUAAAGAUGUUUCCAGCAUGUCACCUGAAAUGAAGUCACUUUGGCCAUCACUAGGGCUGGGUCACUGCCCUGUGGACUGUGUGUGCAGAGGAGAGGGAGGCCACCCAGGGGAGCCCAGCACACUCGGGAAGCCCAGGCAGGGCCGCAGGGUCCCUGAGCUGCAGAAGGCAGCACGUGAACUGGGGUGAAAUAGGGGGGCCUUCAGAGGGGCGCUGUGGGGCUGAGGAGAGGCCAGGGGAGCUGCCUGCCCUCCCAGGCCAAUCUGGAGCUCCAGCCCCAAAAAUGUGGGGGAGAGAGAAACACAUGUCAGGUCAGACAGUCUGUUCUGGUCCUCAGUCCCCUGUGCUCUCUGUCCCCUCUCUGCCUCUCGGAUUCUGUUUGUCUUUCUCUAGUUCCCCAGGCUCCUCUUUCUCUUCCUCCUUCCCUCCCUGCCACAUCCUGUCAGCUGCUGCCCUGUGCAGCCAGUGAGUGGCCAUGGAUCUCCCAGACAGACAAGGGCAUUACGACCAGCAAUGCAGCGCUCCCAGAGGGCUGAGGGGUGGAGGGGCGGUGGGAACCUGGUGCGGGGUGUGUGUGUGCCCAGUCCUGUUGAAACUGCCCCGUCGGGCGUGUCUCCAGAGGUGGGCUCUGCAGCGGGGGUGGACAGGGGCCCUUUCCCAUCUCCCCUCAGGAGCGGAAAGCCGAGGGGAGCGAGCUUUCACUUCACAUGUGGUGUCAGUCGUGGGUGGGACUACGGCGAGCAGACCAAGACCCACAGUCGUCUCGUGAUUCUCCAAACUUGAAAUGAAACUCCAGAGACCAUGGCUUGUCCGUGUGAUCAGGGCUUUCUGACUGGCUUUACUGUUUUGAACAGAAGAAUCUGUAGCCUGAACAAUGGCUCAGACUAAUGAAUGCUUCAGUCUGAGCGAUUUAGCUCUUGUCCACCCGGCGCCUCAUCGAUCUUCCUCAUUCUGAAUUCCAACAGCAAUUGAGUCUGGACCGCACAAUUCAGAACUCCGUUAUAUACGGCCUGGGGUUGCUCCUGUUGUUUCAGAGGAGUUUGUCUGGCCUUCGCUACAGGAAUUACCAGCUCCUUUAGGACUAGGAUCGAGCACGUCUCGUCCUUCUCUAACCUCCACCAGUCGAUGAGCACUCCUUGACGCGGGCAGACACCAUCUGCGUUGCCGUGGGCCUUGUCUCAGCUUUGAUGGCUCCACCUUCAGGAUGCUGGGCACACAGAGCCCUCAAUAAGUGGUUCCUACCUGAAGGAGUUAUUUUUUCCUAUUAACAAAGGACGGGACAGACUGUUCCAGAGUUUCUCCGGGGGGUGCUUAGGUCUAAACAUGAUCUGCUGAUUCUAACACAUUCCGCCUUCUCUUCCACGGUCACCUCCUUCAGCGAGUGAAACAGAUUGGUGUCAGUAUUCCUUACUCACAUAGUGUUAUGGGCAGAACGGUGUCCCCCCAAAUUCCUGUGGUGAAGCUCUGACUGCCGGGACCUCAGGAUCUGACUGCACUUGGAGGCAGGGCCUUCAAAGAGGUGAUUAAGUUAAAAUGAGGCCGUUAGGGUGGCUCUCAUCUGAGCUGACUGGUGUCUUUAUAAGAAGAGGAAAUUUGGACACAUAAAGAGCAGGGCACAGAGGAAACACCACGUGAGGACACAGGGAAGAGGCAGCCAUCUCAGCCAAAGAGAGAGGUCUCCAAAGAAACCAGACAGGCUGACACUUUGAUCUUGGACUUUUAGAUUCCAGAACGGUGAGAAAACAAAUUGCUAUUGUUUAAACUGCCCAGUCUGAGGUGUUUUGUUGUGGCAGCCCUGCUGACCUCAGACGGAUAGAGAAGUAGAGACCCCCAGGGGGAAGUAUCUUCUAGCACAGGCGAAGUGCCCAAGCUUUCUGGAAAUCCCCCUCGUCACGUGUCCACAUGUGUGGGAAUUCCCAAAGGAGUCCUGCAGUCCAGCUGUGUCAUGGCUUUACUCCUUCUGAUGCUCCCUACAAACAAAAAAGGGUCUCUGUCUCCAUCAAGAUUCUUCCUCUGAUUCUGACCUCUCCAAGCCCAUCCUCACUGUCGCGUGCUCUGCCCCACAUUGCUACAAGCACCCAGGUGAAAUCUGUCACCUUACGGUGUAAGGAAGUGCACUGCACCAGCUGCACUGUGGUUGAGACGACUCCUGAGCACGUUCUCCCCGGGCUCGGUUCUCUUUGCACAGGUGGACGGCACCAGGCAGUCCAUCCACGGGCUGUCUAGUUCAAGCUGUUACUACCAUCAGGUGGGCCAGGGUGGGAGUAGGGGCAGGCAGAGGCCAAGCUCCUAGCACCGGCUGAGAAGCUGCAUCUAAGGGCGGGUGUGUGGAGAUGAAUUCCUGGGGACAGACAGGCGAGACACGAAUGCACGCAAGACCAAAAGGCAGCCGAUGAGUGGAGGCCUGGUCAGGCCAUGUGACAGCUGUGUGUUUGUUUAGGAGAUCCAGUGAGAGGCCUGGGCCCCAGGGGCAGUGGAGAGGCAGCUCUCCUGUGGUUUAACCCCCAGAGUCCUCUCUCGGGUGCCUGUAGGACACUUCCUUUUUUCUCUUACAAGCACUAGGAAAGCUGUUUUCUCACCUGAGGUCCUAUUUCCCGAGGUCAACUGUGUGUCACACUUUGCCCAACCACAUAAGAUCUGAACUAAGCACACAAAGUCCUUUCAGGUUUUUAAAAACAUUUGGCAGUUAACAAUUGCAGGCGCUCUGAGAUUUGCUUGGGCGUGCCAUUUUUGUGAUCUGGAGUAGUGUUUCCUAGGCAGACGUUUACUGACAUAGAGCCGCACUUCUGAGGAUGGCAUGGACUGCUACCCUGCAGUACGCACCCCUCCCAGUGUGGUCCCACGGUGUGUCAUCAGGCUGGGUCUGCCGUGUGGCGUGACAGCUGACCCACUGUGAAAGGGCAGCCUGCCCCGUGCCUUCACACCCGCCGAGUGUGCCUAACCUAGCAGGGUACACUGUCGCUGUUGGAGCUUAUGCGACCCUGCACAGUUUCUGCUGUUACCUUAAGCCGCUGAAACUUAUCAGCCACUUGGAGGUCUGCUAGGACAAAUCUGGGGUCCUCCCCGUUCUGAAAUGCCUCUCUGCUCUCCCUCUACCAGCUCUGUCACUCGCCCUUGCCACUUAAAGAAGGAUGGUAUUAUGCAGGCCAGGACACACGGGGGUCUCAAGCUUGAGCAGCAGCAGACCGUCAGGGGCACUUCUUAAACAUGGCUCCUGGGCGCCACCUCCAGAGUUUCCGGUCAGUGUGUCUGGGAAGGGUCUGAGGCCUUGUAUUGCUAACUAGUGUGAAGGUGAUGCUGAUGAUGCUGGCCCAGGGCCCGCACUUUGAGAAGCACCGGGCUAGAAUACUGGAUACGAUAUCUCUGAGCGUGUGUGACUAAGCAUUGAUUUUCCAGCUUCCAUGAACACCCUCUCAAGUGUGUGAGGAAAGCCUGGGUUGGGGUCCUGGACUGGAGUUGACAAAAUAGAACCAAAAGUGGAUGUUUGGCCCUAGUUUGUCCUAACAUGUAGAUGGAACUGGGCCUACGUUUUCAUAGGCCUCUUCUUGACUCAUGCUCUAAAUUUCAUUCAAGGAACAAAAAUUGCAAAGAAGUUGACAUUUUCUGAGCACCAGUUUAAAAAAUUACUUUUUAAAAGAUUGAACAGUAUAUUAGUUUUCUGUUGCUGAUGUAACAAAUUACCACAAACACAGCAACCUAAAAGAGCACAAAUUAAUUUUCUCACAAUUUCCACAGGUCAGAAGACUGGGUAGGCUCCGCCAAGGCCUCUGCCCAACGUCUCGGAAGGGCCAAAGUCAAAGUGCUGGCAGGGCCGUGUUCCCCACCAGAGGCUCUGGACAGGGUCUGCCUCUAAACCCACUCACGUUGUUGGCUGCAGUCUGUUCCUGAGGUUGCAGGACUGAGGUCCCUGCUUCCUUGCUGCCAUCAGCUGGAGAUAGGCUCUGCGGUCCUGCUUUCCUCCCCGGGCUUCCCCUGAGGCCCCUCCAGCAACAGCAGCCUGAGACUCUCUCAAAGCUCAGAUCGCUCUGCCUUCUUCUGCUGAAUCUCGCUGACUCCAGCUAGAGAAAGCUCUCUGCUCGCGGCCCGUGGGGCCCACCCAGACAAUCCAGGACAGUCUCCCCGUUUAAAGGUCUGUGACCUCAGUGACAUCUGCAAGGUCCCCUUUGAUGUAUGGUGCAGUGUAGCUGCACGGUCCAAGGGUUAGGACGUGGACAUCUUUAGGGAGCUGUCCUACCUACCAUAAAGAAGUACUAUGUGGGAAAAAAUCAGAAUAACAUAAAAAUGUUUACAGAAAAAAGUCUUCUCCCACUCCGUGUCCUUUCCCCCGACUCCUCACCCGUCCUACCAGCUAGCUACUGUCAUCGGUUUCUUUGUAUUCUUCCAGAGUUGCUUUUUGUAAACACAGUCAUGAAUAUAUAUUAUUCUUUCUUCUCCCUUUCUUAUAUUGAAGGUGGCAUACGGUACACACCUUUGCAUCCAGCGUUUUUUUUUUAAUUUAAAUGCAGCUUGGAGACAUUUUUCUUAUGGUCCAUAGAGAAAGCACUUCUUCAUCUAUCUUUACAAAGCAUAGUACUCCAAAAACAGGUACCAUAAUUUACUUAACCUGUCUCCUAUUGAUGGACUGUUGGUCUCUUUCCAAUAUUCUGCCACAUAAUCAAUAGCUGUCAGGGACUAACUUCACACAAACAUCAGUUCUUGCGUGUGACCACUGAUUUUCUUUUUAGUUCUAACGUCUCUAAGGCUUGUGACAGGUUGGCUUAGGGACAGUCUCUUACAGGUGCCCAGCUUGUCUGAAGGCACUUUGGUAGCCUAGAAAACGGAAGCUUUGCCUUGAAUUUGUGAAUCUGAGUCACUGCUGGACCUGGAGAUAGGCUCAGCUCCUCUCAAAGCAUUCUCCGCUUGACCGCAGGCCUCUGACCCCGCACGGCCGCCAGCUGGCCUACGGCACACCUCCAGGGGUGCCAUCAACCUCGAGACAAUGUGAAUGGCACCCCUGAGGCUGUGCCACCAGGAAGUGUAAGCGGCCACCCUGUCCCCGGCCCACUCCAGCCCACUCCGCCUAGGAGGAAAUUUGACUUCAGGUCCUCAAUCGGUAUUCCCUCUGACCUUCAGGGUGGUGUUCAUGCUCUUACCCGAGAGGGCUAAUUCCUCUGACCUUCGGCCAUUUUGGAGGUCUCUGGCUUCCUGGCUAGUCCUUCCUUCUUUCAUACUUUCGCUGAGUUUUCUUCAUUUUUCUGGAAAAGAUUCGUAAGAUUAUUCUUCUUCCCCUGAACUAAGAAACUCCGCUCAGAGGGGCUGGGUGCUCAGGUGCCCUGAGCCUCUGUCUGGAGCCUCAGCCGGCCCGCCCUGCCUGCCGGCUCUGCCGUUCCUCUGGCUUCAGCUUCAGCGUGAGAGCAUCUCCUACUGAGCUCACCAGGUGGCCUGCUCUGCUCGUUUCUUCAAACUCUCCUGGUGACUCACCAGCAAUGAGUCCCUCGAAAAAACUCCGUUUCCACUGCCCGUGACUUCCCGGUGCAAGUCACCGCUUGUUUGGUAUCAGACAGCCCAGGCCACAGGGGAGGAGGGCUGCUUCCUGAUUCGGGUUCAGGGCUGGAAAAAAGCAGACGGAGAAACAAAGACACGGCCUGGAAACUGUGGAGAUCAGAAAAGACCAGCAGGGAGAAGACUGCAAAUCCAUUUUCAAUUCAGUGGAAUGGGUUUGCUUGUCUUCUCUCAGUGUGUCGGAUGGGGCAGCGCUUCUAGAAGGAAGUUAAUACGCACUGUUACCUCUCAGCAUCACAGAAUACUCUUACUUUCCUUUGCUGCUACCCCACCUCCAUCCUUCUUUUAAUCCCUUAAACUUUCUACCUCGGGACCUUUGCACAUGUUCUUCCCUUAGCCUGGAAUGCUGCUUCUCCCUUUGGCUAACUUCUAUCCAUCUUUCAGAUCUCAUUUUAAAUGUAAUUUCCUGUGGGAAUUGUCCUGUACUCCCCUGCUGUGGGUUGGAUCUCCCUCCUAUGCUGUUCUUAUCCUUCUAUGCCUUAAAUGCAAUUAUUUUCAGGCAUAUAAUUAAUUGUUCAUUUAUUCACAUUCUGUCUCUCCCUACAGACUGCAAACUUCAUGAGAGCAGAGACCACACCCAUUACGUUGGCUGGCAUACAGGAGAUCUCAAUAAACAUAGGGAGGAUGGAUGAAGGAGUAGAAGGACAGCAGAGGCAAAGAGCAUCAUUCCUCCUGCAAUGAGCACUUAAUCGAUAUCAGGCACUGGGCAUAUUAAAAUGAGAUUCCACACAGAGUCCCCGCUGUCAGGAAAUCCACAGGUCAGCACAUUCUUGGAAAGAAGAGGAAGGAUUUGAGCAGGAGAACUGCUGGAGGGGAGGAAGCCGAGGUGCUCAGGCACAGUACUGCCUGUUUGCUGGAAUUUCCUGCUUUCCGUUUCUCAGACAGUCCCUUUUUGUCCUAUUUUUGUUCCAGAUGACCCUUUAGUUUUCUGGUGGAAGUAAGUGUCUUCCUUGUCACCCUUAGUUACUGAGCCCAGGAGUUGGUCCUCUUUCUACACUCCAGCUUCCCCGUAGAUCAUUUUAUUAUGUCUCCCGGGUUCUUGCGACACCUUUCAGUCUUUUUCUUCUCUGCUCUGGAGAUUUUUUUUUUUAAGUGAGGAAGAUUGGCUCUGAGCUAACAUCUGUGCCAAUCUUCCUCUAGUACGUGGGCUGCCGCCCCAGCGUGGCUUGAUGUGCGGUAUGUAUGUCCACGCCCUGGAUCUGAACCUGCGAACCCAGGGCUACCUAAUUGGAGCGGGCGAACUCAACCACGCGACCAACCCGGCCCCUGGAGUUUUUUUUAUAAUGCACUGGAGCCCACCCAGUUGGCCCCUUCCCCCUAGCCUGGGUCGCUCAUCACCCUGACAAUAACUGUACUUAAAGAUGCAUGAUUUUCAUUUGCAUAUAAAAGAUAAUCCUUUUGGAUCCGGACAAUCCGUUUCUUGUAUUACAACUUUUAAAGUAGUUAAGACCCCUGCAUUUAUAUUUUAACACAGACCUUGCAGGUUCUAUGUUUGGGGGUGGAGUCACCUCAAAUCUCUCCGUUUGCGUUGAGGAUAAAGAAGUGUCACCUAGGAGGUUGGUCUGACAAUUCCAGGUGCUAAUUGAUGUCCUUGGUUAGUUGGGGGUGGUGGAGGUGGUGGGGGUAGUGGGGGCAAUGCACACAGGCCGCACGGCCCCCAAGCUCUGGAGUUGAGCCCACUGGGUCGCCAGGCUGACUGAGAGGCAGGGGAAACAUUCGGGGGUCUUUGAUGGGUCUUGGGAAGGGGGGAGCAGAUAUUCUAAGCUCUGUGUGGGGCUGGUUUUGAAGGCAGGGACGGCCCUGUUCCCCUCUCUGCUCACAUCUCCCACUAGAACGGUCUCAGCUCGGAACUUCCAAGUGUACCACUGUCCACAGAUUGUUUUCCUCCUGUGGACCUCAAUUUCUCUCUGUAAAACAGAGCUGGUUGCACAUUUCCACCAGUGUUUGGAGAGGGGAGGAGGAGAAGGUGUGGGCCCCAGGAGACAGAGGCUCAGCCCACAUAGCUGGUUCCUGUCAGAUGCUUCUGCUUAGGGGGAGCUGUGGCCGUUGGGCCGCCCUCGCUUCGUGCUCUGGGAGCAGAGGAUCCAGGCCCUGUACCCCACCAUGUGCUUCCUCAUUGGGAGCAGUGUGGGAAGGUCCCUGUGUUCGUGGUGGAAGCACAGGUGUCUGGAGGUGGGUACGGAGGUGGGUAUGGAGGUGGGUCUGGAGGUGGGCAUGAAGGUGGGUCUGGAGGUGGGCAUGGAGUUGGGUCUGGAGCUGGGCUUGGAGCUGGGUCUGGAGGUGGGCAUGGAGGUGGGUCUGGAGCUGGGCUUGGAGCUGGGUCUGGAGGUGGGCGUGAAAGUGGGUCUGGAGGUGGGCAUGGAGGUGGGUCUGGAGCUGGGCAUGGAGGUGGGUCUGGAGGUGGGAAUGAAAGUGGGUCUGGAGGUGGGCAUGGAAUUAGGUCUGGAGAUGGGCAUGGAGUUGGGUCUAGAGCUGCGCAUGGAGCUGGGUCUGGAGGUGGGCAUGGAGGUGGGUCUGGAGCUGGGCAUGGAGCUUGGUCUGGAGGUGGGCAUGGAGCUGGGUCUGGAGCUGGGCCUGGAGGUGGGCAUGGAGCUGGGCCUGGAGGUGGGCCUGGAGCUGGGUCUGGAGGCAGGCAGAGGAAAUCUGAAUGCGUUUGGGGGAGGAGGAUGGAUGCCCGAGGGCAGAGGAGAGGGAGGGCUUCUCCUGUUCUCACCCUACUUCUCUCUUCUCAACAGUUCUACACCAUCAGGCAACGUUUAAAUACACUCCGGAACAAACGUCGAUCCUGGGACCUCUGCUUGGCUUGCCUGUGCCCGCCCUGUCCGGUCAGCUGCCACAGACCCUGUGCCUCAUCUGAGGGCUCCUUCCUCCUUCCUCGGAAAGCUGUUCAGGUCACGGCAGAGCUUGCCUCCUUAUGAUGCAGUCGCCAAGGCCCUUCCCCGGCUUCCGAGGAAUUUGGGUCUUAUUACGUGUGUAGAUAAUGCCAUCUAUUGCUAUUUAACUUUUUCACGCACAGCUUUCUCUUCAGUUGCAGUGGGUUUCAGCCCUGGCUGCACAGAAUCACCAGGGAAGCUGUAGAAAAUACUAGUACGCCAGGCCCAAGGCCAGGGACUCUGAUUUAAUGGAUCAGGGGUGGGGCUCCGAGUCUUGUGGCUUGUCAGUCUCCCAGGUGACUGUAAGGAGUGAGGCUUGCAGGCUGGGACCAGCAUUCCAGGGGCUUCCUCCAGUCUCUGUGGAUGAAGGGUUGGUCAGAGGGUCCUUUGGAAAGCAAGUGGCCUGGGGCUAAUCGUGGCUCUGGGCAACCCGGGGGAGGGGGUGAAAAGUGUCCAGUGAGGAGGCUGUGAUGGCAUCGUCUACCUGCUCACCCUGUGGAAAACGAGGGGGGCACUUCCAGGAGGGAUGGGACACCCGCACUCCGCCUCUGGGCUCCUCUUGGGGAAGGAGAUCAAGGUCCCCGUGGGCCGUGCUCCGGAGGCCCUCCUCCCUCUCAACGAUCCUCCGUGUGCUCUCUUGGUUUCUCAUGCCUCAGUUUUCUCUCCCCAGGAGGCUUCAAACAAAGGACAGGUUUAGUGCACUGGGCCCAACACAGCCACUUACUCUGGGACCUGGAUGGAGUUUAUUAACUUCUCUGAACUUCAGGUUCCUCAUCUGUCAAAUGGGCUGAAGCUUAACUCCUAAGGCUACCAUGUGGAUUACAUGGAAGGAUUCUGGCCGAGCGCCGAGCCCACGGUGGACGCUCAGUGGAUAGCUGCUAUGGCUGCCAUUUUCACCUGGUCCCACCUCUUGGUAGCUCCAGAACUGGCUACAUGGUUUGGUUAUUGAACCCUCGGAGCCUCAGUUUCCACAUCUUAUACAACAGGGACAACAACAGGUCCUCCACAGAGCUGGAAGGCAUCAGUAGGUAAAGGGCAGAGCAGAGGAGACGCAGAGCUCAGCCCGGCCCUCUGCUCCCCAGCCCUUCCUCCUCUCAACCUCGCUCUCUCCAGCACCUCCCCCCUCUCUCCACCUCUCUCUAAGUCUUCGCUCUCCUGCUCGUGCUCCUCGCUUGACCCUCCUCGAUAGUCUGAGCAUGGGAGGCCCGGGAUGGAGCCUGUGGGACCAAAGAGGAGGUAGAGAGAUGCAGAACAGGGAGAAGGCAAUGCCCUUCAGCGACAGACCUACUUACCUCUGAGUGACAAAGACCCGGCAAUGGACAGCGUUGAGUCCCCUGUUCCCACGCUCCCUUGGUGACAGGAACUGAAGCCGGAAGAGGUAAGGGAAACUAUGUGACUUCUUUCACUCGUUUAUUCAUCCACUGAGCUCAUACUGGUGGAGUAGUUACAACGUGCCAGGCACAGUGCUUGGCGAACAAGACCGUCUCUGCCGUCGGAGAAGGCACAUCCUCCUUGGAGACACACAGGUACCUGAACAUUUCAGUAUAGUAUGUUAAGUGCUAAAAUAGGGUGCUGACCUGGUUUUUGUCCUGGGGGAGGGAGUCAAGACUUCUGAGACUAAAAGAAGUCCAAGCUGAGAUUGGAAAGUAGGAGUUGGCUAGGUGAAGGGGGAAGGACACGCUUUUCCAGGCUCAGUGUGCACAUGCAAAGGCCUGGAGGCCAGCAUGAGCCUGGCUUGUUCCUGUGUCUGCGGUAGAGAAGUGCUGGCCAAGUGUGCACAAUCUCAGUGGAGGCCAAGCCAUGUCUGGAUUCAGAACCCACUUUGAAGGUGGCAAGACAUGGACAUUGGCAUGAUUGAUAAUGGAUCCCUCAACUAGCCAGAGGGAAGGACCAAAAUAUAGGCUCACAGACUGUGACAGGUGUGAUAAAGAAAAAGUCCCUGUGCUACCCCCCAAAAAAUUAGGAAAAGAAAAAAUAAGAAUGGAACAAAAAAAUUAUGGAGAGUGUAAAGGCAAAUGUGGUGCUUGCAAAGAGUAUGUUGGAGACUGGAAACAGAAGGAUGAGAGACAAGGAGACUCAAGACUUGAUCCCGAGGGAUACUUCAGUGUUUCACUGAAGAUGGAUAAAGACUAAUUCGGCCCAGCACUAUCAAUAUGCCAUUAGCAUUUCUCAUUGCCGCCAAGGCUGCCAUGUGCAAUUGUGCAAGUCGAGCACUGCACAAUUCUAGAGACCACCGUUUCCAUCACUGAUAUAGACUCAUCUAUUUAUUACAACAAUUUUUCAGUAGAUGGCGCACAAAGAGGCCUACAGGUGAAUGGCUGUGCUGACUGGCCACCCUUUGCAAGACACUCUGGUCUCACCUACCUCUUCCCUAUUACAGCAGGGUGAGAAGACCCACGUGUCUACUACCUGCAACAAACACUCAAGAGUUUCCUUUUCCUCCAUCCUCGCAUUCAUCCUUGCCUGCCUGCCCAUGGAGGGCGGUGAGGCAGGCCUGGGGACGGAAUGCACAGCAUGGCAGCUUGAGCGAGCACCUCUGUGGUGUGUACUUGACAGUUGCCGAGAGUAGAUCUCGGGUUCUCACCACACACACACACACACACACACACACACACUAUGGGAAGUGAUAACCUUAUCAUCGUCAUCAUUGGAUAAUAUAGACAUAUAUCAAGUCAUUGCAUUGUACACCCUGAACUUACACAUCUUAUUUGUCAAUUACAUCUCAAUAAAGCUGGAAAAAAUAAAUAAAUAAAUGAAAAAGACCACAUGGGAGGCAAUAAAACAGAGUGGUGGGGAGCAAGGCCCUUGGAGUCUGUCUGCCUGGCAUCCGAUAUUUGACCGGAUCUGGGCUGUACUUCUGCGUCUGUAAAAUGGGCAGAUUAGCCACCUCACAGAGUUGUCUGAGGACCACCCGAGACAAGGCUGGUAAAGCCUUUGAGUGUAGUGUCUGGUACACAGUAAAUGCUAACUAAAUGCUAACAAUUUUUGAACAAAUAUUUAAUGUGUUGCAAUCUAAUGGAGAAGCUAGACAUCGAACAAAAACUCCAGAGUGAUGGAUGGUUGCGUCGCUCAGCCUCCUCUUCCAGGGCCUGCCUCAGAGCCUGGCAGUGACCCCUCACGGCUGGCGGAGACUGCAGCGCCGCUGCAGGAGCCCCAUCUGCGUGUGACACCGUUGCUUCUCCACUGGGCUCCUGGCUCGUUGUACCGGCAGCCUCAGCCUGACAGACAGGGGGAGCUGAGAGUUUCACUGGGACGCGGGUCUGCCCUCCAAAGCCCAGCCUGGGUGCUCUGCUGAAGAGAGAUGGGGGAUGUCUGUGGCUCUAGAUUUUUUGUUUUUGUUUUUAAUGGUCUGGCUUGCUCGGCCUUUUUUCCAGGUGUUUCCUAAAAUAGCUUUCCACUCCUCCUCCCUUGGACCCACCUUCAGCCCUGCCUUCAGAGGCAUCCAGGUGGGUUCUUGGCCUUCCUCACUGCUGGUUUACGAUUCCGCUUUUUUCAGACUUCUAAAUUGUUAGAGCUUGUUCAUCUAUCUUCCGGCUUCCAAAAAUAUUCUGCUAUUGUCUCCGUUCCUGUUUUCUUCAUCUUGUGGAUGUAUGCUUUAAAAAACCCACCUCUCUCCACUGUCAUUUUGGCGGGUUUUGGAGAGGAACUGAGGUAAACUCAUGCGUUCCAGCUGCCCUCUCUAACUGAAGUCAGUUACGCGCCUCUGCUGUGCCCCACCUCAGAGGAUGGCUGGAGAAGCUCUGCCCCCACCCACACUGCUUGCAGGCUCGGUGGUCUGGUUCCUCAGUCCACAGACAACAAGAAGGAGCCCAUUAGACGGGAGGCUCGCCCGAGGAAAGACCCGCCAGAAGUGGCAAGUGAACUGCACAGGAAGGGACAGAGAAAUCAUACAGAAAGUCUAUCCAAGCAGAGCCACCUAGAGCAGGGUAAACGGCGCUCAAACCUAGCAGCACGGCACCCCCAGGGACGGAGCUUCAGCAGUUCCAGGCCCAGAGUCUCACAAAGGCUCACAAUGA